GCACAGUACCGGCCUCCCGCUUGC
rnacentral:siRNA from 1 species